AACAGGAUUAGAUACCCUGGUAGUCCACGCUGUAAACGAUGUCGACUUGGAGGUUGUGCCCUUGAGGCGUGGCUUCCGGAGCUAACGCGUUAAGUCGACCGCCUGGGGAGUACGGCCGCAAGGUUAAAACUCAAAUGAAUUGGCGGGGGCCCGCACAAGCGGUGGAGCAUGUGGUUUAAUUCGAUGCAACGCGAAGAACCUUACCUACUCUUGACAUCCAGAGAAUUUGCUAGAGAUAGCUUAGUGCCUUCGGGAACUCUGAGACAGGUGCUGCAUGGCUGUCGUCAGCUCGUGUUGUGAAAUGUUGGGUUAAGUCCCGCAACGAGCGCAACCCUUAUCCUUUGUUGCCAGCACGUAAUGGUGGGAACUCAAAGGAGACUGCCGGUGAUAAACCGGAGGAAGGUGGGGAUGACGUCAAGUCAUCAUGGCCCUUACGAGUAGGGCUACACACGUGCUACAAUGGCAUAUACAAAGAGAAGCGAACUCGCGAGAGCAAGCGGACCUCAUAAAGUAUGUCGUAGUCCGGAUUGGAGUCUGCAACUCGACUCCAUGAAGUCGGAAUCGCUAGUAAUCGUAGAUCAGAAUGCUACGGUGAAUACGUUCCCGGGCCUUGUACACACCGCCCGUCACACCAUGGGAGUGGGUUGCAAAAGAAGUAGGUAGCUUAACCUUCGGGAGGGCGCUUACCACUUUGUGAUUCAUGACUGGGGUGAAGUCGUAACAAGGUAACC
rnacentral:rRNA from 1 species